rnacentral:rRNA from 1 species
AUACGGAGGAUCCGAGCGUUAUCCGGAUUUAUUGGGUUUAAAGGGAGCGUAGGCGGACGCUUAAGUCAGUUGUGGAAGUUUGCGGCUCAACCGUAAAAUUGCAGUUGAUACUGGGUGUCUUGAGUACAGUAGAGGCAGGCGGAAUUCGUGGGGUAGCGGUGAAAUGCUUAGAUAUCACGAAGAACUCCGAUCGCGAAGGCAGCUCACCGGGCCGGAACUGACACUGAUGCUCGAAAGUGCGGGUAUCAAACAGGAUUAGAUACCCUGGUAGUCCGCACAGUAAACGAUGAAUACUCGCUGUUUGCGAUACACUGUAAGCGGCCAAGCGAAAGCGUUAAGUAUUCCACCUGGGGAGUACGCCGGCAACGGUGAAACUCAAAGGAAUUGACGGGG